rnacentral:rRNA from 1 species
AUCAACUUUCGAUGGUAGGAUAGAGGCCUACCAUGGUGGUAACGGGUAACGGGGUGUUAGGGCACGACACCGGAGAGGGAGCCUGAGAAACGGCUACCACAUCCAAGGAUGGCAGCAGGCGCGCAAAUUACCCAAUCCCGACACGGGGAGGUAGUGACAAUAAAUAACAAUACGGGGUUCUUUCGGAUUUCGUAAUUGGAAUGAGUACAAUUUAAAUCUCUUAACGAGGAACAAUUGGAGGGCAAGUCUGGUGCCAGCAGCCGCGGUAAUUCCAGCUCCAAUAGCGUAUAUUAAAGUUGUUGCAGUUAAAAAGCUCGUAGUUGAAUUUCGGGGUCAGUAGAUUGGUCGUGCCACUGGUAUGCACUGGUCUUACUGGCUCCUCUUUCCUGAUGAACCGUAAUGCCAUUAAUUUGGUGUUGCGGGGAGACUGGACUGUUACUUUGAAAAAAUUAGAGUGUUUAAAGCAGGCUAACGCUUGAAUACAUUAGCAUGGAAUAAUGAAAUAGGACGUUCGAUCUUAUUUUGUUGGUUUCUAAGAUUGACGUAAUGAUUAAUAGGGAUAGUUGGGGGCAUUAGUAUUCAAUUGUCAGAGGUGAAAUUCUUGGAUUUAUUGAAGACUAACUACUGCGAAAGCAUUUGCCAAGGAUGUUUUCAUUAAUCAAGAACGAAAGUUAGGGGAUCGAAGACGAUCAGAUACCGUCGUAGUCUUAACCAUAAACUAUGCCGACUAGGGAUCGGAUGAUGUUAAUUUUUUAAUGACUCAUUCGGCGCCUUACGGGAAACCAAAGUGUUUGGGUUC